AUUGAACGCUGGCGGCAUGCCUUACACAUGCAAGUCGAACGGCAGCACGGGAGCAAUCCUGGUGGCGAGUGGCGAACGGGUGAGUAAUACAUCGGAACGUGCCCAGUAGUGGGGGAUAGCCCGGCGAAAGCCGGAUUAAUACCGCAUACGACCUACGGGUGAAAGCGGGGGAUCGCAAGCCCUAGCGCUAUUGGAGCGGCCGAUGGCAGAUUAGCUUGUAGGUGGGGUAAAAGCCUACAAAGGCUACGAUCUGUAGCUGGUCUGAUAGGACGACCAGCCACACUGGGACUGAGACACGACCCAGACUCCUACGGGAGGCAGCAGUGGUGAAUUUUGGACAAUGGGCGCAAGCCUGAUCCAGCCAUGCCGCGUGCGGGAAGAAGGCCUUCGGGUUGUAAACCGCUUUUGUCAGGGAAGAAACGAUCCGAUCUAAUACAUUGGAUUAAUGACGGUACCUGAAGAAUAAGCACCGGCUAACUACGUGCCAGCCGCCGCAGUAAGAC
rnacentral:rRNA from 1 species